CUGAGAAUUUGCUCUACAAGAUGGUGUCAUUGUGCUCUUUGUAUCUGUAGUAGUUUCCAAGGAAAGAAAUAGGAGGCAUUACUUUCAGAGUGACCUACAUAUGUAUUUAAUUGAAGGCCAUCUGGUCUCAGUGGAGGACAGGGAAAAAUAUGGCUCAUUGCAGAAGGACAGCUGGGAAGAGUAGUGAAGUUACACAGCGUUUAAAUAUUUAAUGCAAUUUUAUCAUAAUAGUAUUCAAGAGUUGUUUUUAAUUGAUGUUUCUAGAGUAACAUGUUUUAUUAACGUGGAAAUAUCUUUUCUUCCCUAACUCCUUAAAGCUGUGCAUACUAGUCCCUCAUCAUUUAGGGAACCUGAGAUGAGGAGUUCCAGUGAAGACUGUUCUGAAGUACUGGGCCUCGCCAAGAGAUCUGGGAAGUGAGGAGUGCUGCUGCAGCAGCAGCCUGGGAGCAUGGUUAAGGAAAAUGUUGGAGAGUCUUACAAAAACAGCACGAGCUGUGGCCUGUCAACAGCUCCUGGCAUGUGACAGUCUCUGUGGCAUGAGUUUAUGCCAUAUGAACAAGUAACAUCACGUAGUUAGAUCUUCUUUCCAAUGGUGCAUACCCAUAUCUUUGGCCAGUGCCCACCAUGCCAAAACAUCCUGAAACAGUAAUUCUGGGCCUACUACACCAAGGGGAAUAGCGUUGCAUUCAGUUUCUCUGAAAAUGAGCUUUGUACUGCAGUAUGUAUACUACUUUCUCUAAGCAGCAUGUGGCUGGCAAUUAUGAGCUGUCAGGUAACCCG
ensembl:lncRNA